CCUACGGGAGGCAGCAGUGAGGAAUAUUGGUCAAUGGACGAGAGUCUGAACCAGCCACGUAGCGUGAAGGAUGACUGCCCUAUGGGUUGUAAACUUCUUUUAUAUGGGAAUAAAAUGUUCCACGUGUGGGAUUUUGUCUGUACCAUAUGAAUAAGGAUCGGCUAACUCCGUGCCAGCAGCCGCGGUAAUCCGGAGGAUCCGAGCGUUAUCCGGAUUUAUUGGGUUUAAAGGGAGCGUAGGUGGAUUGUUAAGUCAGUUGUGAAAGUUUGCGGCGCAACCGUAAAAUUGCACUGGAAACUGGCAGUCUUGAGUACAGUAGAGGUGGGCGGAAUUCGUGGUGUAGCGGUGAAAUGCUUAGAUAUCACGAAGAACUCCGAUGGCGAAGGCAGUUCACUGGACUGCAACUGACACUGAGGCUCGAAAGUGUGGGUAUCAAACAGGAUUAGAUACCCUAGUAGUC
rnacentral:rRNA from 1 species